AGAUUGAACGCUGGCGGAAUGCUUUACACAUGCAAGUCGAACGGCAGCACGGGGGCAACCCUGGUGGCGAGUGGCGAACGGGUGAGUAAUACAUCGGAACGUGCCCAGUCGUGGGGGAUAACUACGCGAAAGCGUAGCUAAUACCGCAUACGAUCUACGGAUGAAAGCGGGGGAUCGCAAGACCUCGCGCGAUUGGAGCGGCCGAUGGCAGAUUAGGUAGUUGGUGGGGUAAAGGCUCACCAAGCCGUCGAUCUGUAGCUGGUCUGAGAGGACGACCAGCCACACUGGGACUGAGACACGGCCCAGACUCCUACGGGAGCAGCAGUGGGAAUUUGACAAUGGGCGCAAGCCUGAUCCAGCCA
rnacentral:rRNA from 1 species